UUUCGUCUAGUGCAUAUGUGUUCACAUAGGUUAAAAAUCAGAAGGGCCAAUGCACUUACACUAGUGUGACUCUGGUAUACAUCAGAUUAAAAGUAGAGCCAGGAAAUCAGCAUGUUGAGGUAAAGUCCAAUGCCGUAUCCAAAAAAUUGCAACGAAGCUGGUGAGGGGCCUGGUGCACAAGUCUGGUGAGGAGCAGCUCAGGGAACUGGAGCUGUUCAGCCUGGAGAAAAGGAGGCUGAAGGGAAGCCGUAUUGCUGUCUACAACUACAUGAAAGGAGGUUGUAGCAUGGAGGGUGUUGGUCUCUUCUCUCAAGUAGCAAGUGAUAGGCCAAGAAGAAAUGUCCUCAAGUUGUGCCAGGAGAAGUUUAGAUUGGAUAUUAGGAAAAAUUUCUUCACUGAAAGGUUGUUGGUCAUUGGAACACGCUGCUAGAGAAGUGGUGGAGUCACCAUUGCUGGAGGUGUCUAAAAGACACGUAGGUGUGGCUCAUAGGGUCAUGGUUUAGUGGUGGACUUGGCAGUGUUAGAUCAAUGGUUGGACUCAAUGGUCUUUAAAGGUCUUUUCCAACCUAAAUGAUCUUAUGAUUCUGUGAAAUAAUAUUUUGUAUUUUUUUUUUUGACCAUAUUUGCACUUCAAGGACUAAAUUAUGGAUCACCAAGUCACAAAAUAGCCCUGUCAAACAGGUUUGUACAUUCUUCUUAUGUAAGUAUUUACAAAUAAAAUAAAUGAGGAGGAGAUGCAUGUGAAUAUGUAGAGUUAAACAUAUGGAGUAUUACAGGAUAUUUGUAAAUGGCUAGAAGUAAAUUGAUUCUAAAAUUCUGGAGGAAUAGGGCUGGGCAAUAUUUCAUUAACAUACCAUGGAAUAUUGUGGGAAUUCUGAUAACUAGAAAAAAAGUCAAUUUUGUAUCCUUACAUAAGAUGGCCAAAAUGUGUCACCCACAGGAGUAGAGAAUAGACAACUUGAUGUUUGCCCCUGACAGAGUUACAAAGUAAAUAAAAACUUAUAGGGUCACACCAUGGUUAAUUGAUCGCCAUGAUUUUUUUGGAGAUAAGGUUUUUUAAUGAGAUGAUCACAAGUUCUAUUGAAACAAUGGUAGAUAAAAUAUGCUUAAAAGAUAAGCUCAUAUUUUAACUUUUAACUCAGAUGAUAAUCUCACUGCUGGAAUAAUUGAUAUUCUCUUAGCCCAUUCCAGUUUUGAGGGAAAGUUUGGCUUAAAGUUUAGGGUAUAUCAAAGUACCUCACCACUGGGGAAGGGAGAUAGAAAGCAUGAAGCAGUUACGGCAGCUCGUCUUAUGGGUCGUAACUUAAACUUCCAUAUUCAGUCACAGUCAAGCACAUGUACCUAGCUGGAGACAUCUGUAAGAAGUUUAACUACAAGUUGUAUUCUUACCAAAAUCUCACAAACACAUAACAUGAAUUAAAAGCUGUUCAGAAAGGAAUUGCAAAGGGCGCAUUUGUUUCCUUACAGGUUUGCAUUUCAUGGAUUCCUGUGAACAAUAUGUAUUUUACUAAUGCCAAGUCAUGCAAAGGCAGAUGGCUCGGAGUGAAGGUCAGAGCUACACUAGAGGAUGGCAGACGGACGGUAGCAAAAACGUUACUAUAGCAGAGAGCUCCCAGCUCUGAAACACCCAGUGGAGCCGCCCUUUUAAUACCAUCUCACUUCUUUUUGCAGGUAAAUGACUGCAGGGCUGUUAGUCCAGAAUUGCCUCCAGUGUCUUCUGCCAAGCAGUCUGCUGCAGCAGGUGUUACUCUUGGCAGGUGCUAAAAAGUUUCUUAUUUCUCAGGGGUAUGUCUGGAUACUGAUUUAGCAAGAGUAUCAGCACACAGUGAUAUUUGGAGAGUGUGAUAUUCUUCAGUGUUGCUUGACUGUAUCCCAAGGCUGCAUGUGUUUGAUGUGAAGACACGUGUGCCCAUCACAUUCUGUGGCAGACUAUAUUCCCAGAAGGUAGCUCGGAGCACACCUGCUACGUGUAAAUGCCUCAAACAUUGCAGGAGAUGGCAUCAUUAAGUGUUCUGAAAAUCCCCCUGGGAGCUUAUGGGAGGAGGGAAAUCCUGCCCACGUGUGUAACAGCAGGAGAGAGGGCAGAAAAUAGCUUGUUUGUACCAUGACUAGAGAGUUUCUGUGCAAUGUCUUUGCAGCUUGCUGUGAGUAUAUAAUGAGCUGUGUGCUUCUGUGUGUAUCCUCCUGUGAGGCAGAGGUAGCCUUGGAGGACACAGUCAUCCCUGUGUGACAUGUUCCUACUGUAUGCAUUUUGCUGUUUCCCAGUUGGGGACAGACUGAUGUCAUGUUACUGGAAAACUAGGUGGUUUGCUCCUACAAGUGCAUAGCUGGCUGGACUGCCUGCUGCAGAAGUUUCUCUUCAACAUGUGUCCUCAGUGUCUCUAUACCCAGCAUACCAUGGAAGAAGUGACCCAAGAAAGGGUGCAAGUCCCAAGGAGUCCUGAGGUUGGUAAGUUGAAGAGACCCCUUCCAUGAUCCUUAUAUAUAGAGGCUGCUCUGCAAGAGCAGAUUCAAGAGUGUAAUGUAAUUUCAAGAGUGUAAUGUAAUUUCUUCCACUUUUUUCCAUGACUGUGCUUGCUGUGCAGUACCUUCUGAUGUGGGUACCUCCUGGGCCAAGGGUGGACCUUUGCUGGGACAGGAUGGUGAAGGUGGUACCUCAAUGCAGUGGUGAAGAGAAAGCAUAAAUUAGGGAGUAGAAGACAUUGACCAGAAUGAUCAUUUCUGUUGUGCCUCAUGCUGUCACUUUCAGCUCUGUAGAUCUUUUUUCCUCCCAGAACUUGAAUUUGAGACAAAUUAAGGAAGUUCAUAGCCCAGAUGUCUUUUUCUUUGACAGUGUGUUGCAGAAGAUGUGUUCUCAAACAGCAGCACAGUGCAAUAUUUUGGUGUGUGUGAUCCUGCUGGGGUUGUGUCGGAGGGCUGUCUUGAGUAAAAGAGGCAAAAUUUAGCAAAAUCUGGAACUGUGCUGCUUGUAGGCUAGUCAGUUUGGACAAAAUUGUGCCCUUCUCUUUAUUCCAGCCUCCCUGAGAACCAAGGUUUGUGCAGAUCAUAGAGCAGGAAUGAACUAACCUGUGUUCAGCACUAACCACUGAGGGACCAGAUCUCCACAGCAAAACAGGAACUAGACCAAAAUGAUGGUACAGGCACAAAUGUUCGAUGCUACUCUGGUGUCCACUCUUCACAAAAGAUAUAGAGACAUUAGACAAGGUACAAAAUAUAGACCCCAAGUUGUCUGAGUUUGAAAAAGAUACUUUUAUCUUAAAGCUCCUAGGAAUCUGUUUCUUGUCAAAUACCUUAAGGAAUGCUAUGAUCAUAAUUUAGAAACAGCUACACAGGGAAGUCUUUUCUGAUAAUAAGAGAAUAUUGAUUUCCACAGCAGAAAGCUUAACAGGAUCCAUAGUCUAGAGACUGAAGGUAAACUUGGAAGUGAAGGUGAUAGAAUUCUUAAAAAAAAUUGUACCUUGAAACAUUGUGGAUUCUCUGCCGUUAAAUUAAGAUAUCUAUCAUGAUCUCAAUGGAGAAAUCUCAUUGUUUUAUAAGGUAUGAUAUAGCUGAAAGGAAGCAUUAAGACCUUUGCAGAAGUAGUUGAGUUAGGUUCUUUGUUCUUUGUUAGAUGGGAGAUUAGAUGGUAAUUGCAUUGUUUCUUUUCAUCCUCAACAGUGAAAGUAUUUGUGAACUUGAUGAAGUAAUCACUACCCUUCUGCUUUCGCGUGCACCAAUACAUUAUUUUGUGCUGAAUGCUUUUUAAUAGAAAAUGGAAGCAGAAAGCCAACACUCCAUUAUUAUUAUGGAUCAAACAUAAAUGCUGAUGUGAUUUAAAUGUAAAAAGAGCUUUGCAUAUGUGAGAUUAUUAAGCUUGAAGUAAGAUAGGAAGACAAUGAAAAAUGGCAAGUGCAGCCUGGUCUUGGGUAUCUUUAGGAUAGUUUUAAAUAACUCAUGCAAUUGUUGAAUAAAAUACGCAGUUGGUAAAUAAACAUUGUCACUUUCAAGGAAACAGAGACUGAUGUGAGAGGCGCAGCAAAAUUGUAGCAAGAAUCAUUUGGCAUCUGAUUUUGCAGGGAAGAAUGUUGAUUUGUGUAAGUCUUUUCUUUUUCAUCAGAUAAAGGAGUCAGAACUGUGUGGACAACAGCAAAAAUACAUAUGAACAUUAUAAACUUGUAAAUUUGACACGGCAUUCUGUCCAGAGAAAAUGUUACUGGGAUGUCAAGGAACUGGAAACAGAAAGACGAGAUGUUUUCACAGAUAUUUUCACAAGUUCACUCAGUUCAGGAGGCAUUCCUGAAGACUGGUCACAAGAACUCUAUAACCUUCAAAAACCAUAGGAAUAUAUGAAAUAUGAUAAAGGCUAGCUGAUAUAUAAGGGAAGUGCAAGGAAGCAUUUUAAGGUCAAAUGGAGAAACAUUGGUAAAAUGAGUGUUUGAAGGGGGGCUCCCUCCUUCAUUUUCAGCAAGGGAAGACUAUGCUUCAUUAUCUUGACAGAACUGUUUGAAGCUUAUUAUUGAUAAGACAGGAAAAAGGGUAAAAACAUGACAUUUAUCUAAAGUUUUCAUCAGAAAGACUACCAUGUAACCCAUCCGAGGUUAGCUUAUUACAUAUAAAGGUGUGGAACAGAAGAGACAGUAAACCAGGUAGGAAAUUUGACAAAACUAGAGGAUAGUUUCACGUGGACUGACUUCACUUCAAGAUGUAUUAAAAAUAAAGUAAAAUAAAAGUUCCCACAAUCCAUGCACUCCAAAGAUGACCAGAAUAAGCAAAGUUAGAACCAAAUAAUGUUUGCAUGCAACUAGAGACAAACACUGCUUAUUCUAAGGUGUCUAUUUAAGAGGGAGAUAAAAUGAGGUAACUCUUCUGUUCUUUGCAGUUUUUCAGUGGGAAUACGGAACAUUGACACAUAAGAUCUCUCAGCCCGGCAAAUAGGUAAAAUACUAAGACUGGAACUAAGACUAAGACAAGAUCCAUACAUUAACAGCUGAGGCUGGUGAAUCUCUGUGACUAGCCCCAGAAACGGACUGUGAUAUUCUGCUUGUGGAAGUUAAAAGUUGUUGUGACUAUGAGCCUCAAUCAUUACCUGUCCAGACGUCUAGCUGCUGUUCAGUAUUGUGAAAGUCAUUUCAUUAAGAAUGGAAAAUGUGCUUGAAAUGUACAUUCCUCGAGACUGCAUACAUUUCUGGGAACACAAAACAGCCAGAGUGCUAUCCUGGCUCACCCUUCUCUGUUAUUUCUCCUCCCAGGUGUGCUUUAGUAAUUUUUUUUUUUUUUCUCAUGCAUGUCUAACACCCUGUGCAAUGAAGCUCAAGACUAAUUUUGUUCUUUUCAGCUUUAGUAGUCUCUACAGACUCCAGAGGAAGUUUGUGAGGAACAGUCAGUUGCACAUGCUGUUGAAUCUGAAUGUAUUACUACUUGUUGUUUUUCCGGCAAAACUACAAGAAAACCUCCUCCAGAUGGAUGCAUAUGUUUCACCUCUACUAUUCAUCUGGCAUCCAGACAUACCUGCAGUGGUCUGGAAAGGUGGUAAAAAUCAGGCUUGAAGAGAUCUGGGCCCCUUAAAAAUUUGACUAAAUAUGUAGUACAAAGUGAAGGUGUACACCAAGUUCAGAGAAUCACAGAAAUGCUUAGGUUGGAAAAUAUCUUUAAGUUCAUCAAGUCCAAUUGUUAACCUGGCAUUGCCAAGUACACCACUAAACCAUGUCCCUGAGAACCACAUCUACAUGUCUUUUAAAUAACUCCAGGGAUGGUGACUCAACCACUUCCCUGGGCAGCCUGUUACAAGGCUUGACAACUCUUUCAGUGAAUAAUUUUUCCUAAUAUCCAAUCUAAACCUCCCCUGGCACAACUUGAGGCCAUUUCCUCUUUGUCUUAUCACUUGUUACUUGGGAGAAGAGACCAAGACCCUCCAUGCUACAACCUCCUUUCAGGUAGUUGUAGAGAGCAGUAAGGUCUUCCCCAAACUUCCUUUUCUCCAGGCUAAACAGCCCCAGUUCCCUCAGCUGCUUCUCAUAAGACAUGUGCUUCAGACCCCUCACCAGCUUUGUUGCCCUUCUCUGAACUCUCUCCAGCACCUCAAUAGCUUUCUUGUAGUGAGAGGCCCAAAAAUGAACACAGUAUUCAAGGUGCAGCCUCACUGGUGCCAAGUACAGGGAGACAAACACUUCUCUAGUCCUGCUGGCCACACUAUUCCUGAUACAAGCCAGGAUGCUGUUGGCCUUUUUGGCCACCUGGGCACACUGCUGGCUCAUAUUCACCUGGAUUUUGACCAACACCCCCAGGUCCUUUUCCACCAGUCAGCUUUCCAGCCACUCUUCCCCAAGCUUGUAGUGGUGCCUGGAAUUGUUGCAACCCAAGUGCAGGACCUGGCACCUGGCCCUCUCAAACCUCAUACAACUGGACGUGGCCCAAUGAUCCAGCUGGUCCAGAUCCCCCAGUAGAGCCUUCCUACCCUCCAGCAGAUCAGCGCUCCCACCCAACUUGGUGUCAUCUGCAAACUUACUGAGGGCGCACUUGGUGCUCUCAUCCAGAUCAUUGAUAAAGAGAUGAAACAGAACUGGCCCAAACACUGCACCCUGAGGAACACCACUCAUGACUGGCCUCCAACUGGAUUUGACUCAGUUCACCACAACUCUUUGGGCCCAGCCAUCGAGCCAGUUUUUCACUCAGCAAAGAGUACAGGUGUCCAAGCCAUGAGCAACCAGUUUGUCUGUGAGAAUGCUGUGGGAAACAGUGUCGAAAGCUUUACUAAAGUCCAGGUAGACAAUAUCCGCAGCCUUUCUCUCAUCCACUAAAUGGGUCACCUUGAAGAAGGUGAUCAGGUUUGUCAAGCAGGACCUGCCUUUCGUAAAUCCACGUUGGCUGGGCCUGAUCGCCUGGCUGUCCUGUAAAGUUCUCACACUCUUCUCCUUCAAACCUCAAACAUAUAAGGAAUUGGUUACACAGCCUACUAUAAAAUGUGGUAUGGAUAAAUACAUUUGUAAUUUGAUUUGUCUGGGUGUAUAUAGUAAGUCUUGUAAUAAUAUAGCAUUAUCCUGUAUCAUAUAGCAUGCUCUCAGCUGCACCCAGGGAGAUCCACCCUGGGUGGAGAGCAUGGAGCUUGGCUGAACAUAGUGGUUUUCAAAAAUGAAGUAACACAUGCUUGGGAUCUUAAGUUUAUCAGUAACCAAAAAUCACAAAGCCAAAAAUCUCUUAACUUCUCAGUGAAUGAAGAUGUCUUGAGUGCAUUUCUGGACCAGAAUGGAUUUCUACUGGAACACGAUGGACUCUGGGAGACUUCUGUGCAUCUGUUUAGGGUUAGGAGUUAAUUAGAUACCAUAAUUGUAAACCCUUCUCUUGUAUGUUAUUUUGGCUAAGCCUUCUUUUGCAAAAUAUUUUUUAUAAGCCUGGUGACAGUGGAAAGAUAUUUUUAUCCUGAAAGAAAAAAAUAACUUUGUUUCUUUACUAGCUCUUCUUCCUCUGUUUUCAGGGCAGAGGAAUAUAAAUACAGCAUGGCAUGAACCGUGUGUUAUCCACUUCCAUCUACAUAUACUGAAACUCAAAGCAGCUCACUGUCUUCUGGUUGGUCAAAUAACAGAGCUUAGAAGAAAAAUCUAUCAAGAGAGCUACCUUUGAACCCUGGACCUGGAGAGCUAAAUUUGUCAGUUACAAAAGUCAUCAAAGACAAUACAAACCCCACAAACCGUUGCUUUCAAGCAGCUGAACAUCUAUUUAUACAACUUACUGGACAUUCCAACCUCCAGUUUGCUCAGCCAGCUCCAGUAAAUAACACGAAGGCACAGAGGACUGUCAGACCUGCUUGUUUCCUUCAAGUUCUGCUGGAAAUACUCAUUGUAAAUAGCAGCUUUGUGUACGGCUACUGAUUGUUAAUGAGGUGGUCUAAGCACAGACUGUACAUGGCCCAGGGCAGAGACUAUUUCUGAGCUACUUGCAAAGCAGGAAAUGUGGGAGCUAUGAGAUUCUGCCCGGAAGACAUCCAUGAAGGUCAGCUUAUAGGGCUGUCUAUUCUAUGGCUGAUUUCGUCCCAGCUGUUACCAUGGUGGUUGAGCUUCCCAGUACUAGGAUGAAACUGGUCUAUUUAAACAAGCUUUGAACACAGAAUACUUGGGAAAAAAAGACCUGGAUUUUUUCUGUAUAUAACUUCUACCUAUCCACAUUGGAUUAAGUGAGUUCAGCCGUGCACUACCAUUGUGCUUUCCAAAUGAUCAGCCUAUAAAUUUCUUGUUCUGUUGCAAAAGGGAAAUUAAUUGUUUUCAUAAUAUCAGUAAGAAUAAUUAUUUUUCAUAAUAGAGGCUAAUACCAUUUUGUGCUUUUUACAAGUUAAAUUGUAUCUAUUCCUUGUUCAAAUGUGACGGAUUUUGUUCCCAUUAAUGCACUCUUGAGUAAUUAGUGCCAAAUCUUUUAUGGUGGAGGGAAAAUACAAUAUUUCUUGACUGCUCAGCAGUUAGGCCAUUUAUAAUUAAAUGAAAAAAUCAUGUGUAAAGCUAAAAGCAUUUGCUCUAUUAAUUAAUCUGGAUUCUCUCCGCUUAAACUAUCUGCAGCUCUGUUUGAGGAAGUGGUCUACUAAGUCAUAUUGGAUUACAUACUUAUAUCCAUUUUUAAUUACAUUUGGAGGAAACAUGAUAACAGCAAGAGAAAAAACAACAUAGGUUGAAUAUGUGAGUUAGUGCUUGGCCACUUCCUCUAGAAAAGCUAACUUUUAUAUGGUUUGGUUUGGAAAGAGUCAGGACCAUGUGACAUAUUAAAAAAAAAAAAAACAUUAUGAAUCUUUUUAAUUCUGCCUAAAUUUGUUACGCUGUGCAAAAUGUAUUUACUUUUGCAAAAUAUAUUGGGAUAUGGCACAAAAUGCUUUUUAACUUUUGGCUACUAUAGCUUCUAAUGUAUGUCUUAAUUUUUGUUGUGCUAGAACUACUUAGUCAAUAAUUCUUUUAUGAACAUAACAAGACCAGAUGCAGACAGUUGAAGAUAGAUAUUUUUCAUCUUGUAGACCUUUCAUUUGGUAUUCUUGGGAAGAAAUUAUAUUUUGGCUGCACCAUAAUUUUUGCAUGUCCAACUCUACAUCUUGGAUAAGGAAGAAUUUUUAGUGUCAGAUCCUGCUGGCUUUUUUUCUGCUGCUGGACACUUCCAAUUAAAGGGGUGGAAGAUCUCCAUCUUUGCAAAGCUACAGAACCAGAAUAACACCAAAUAAAUUUUUGGAGUAUUUGUGAUAGAAGAUGUAGCACACUAGGCAGACUAAAAAUAGAAGUGUCUUUCAGGAACUCAUAAUGAUAAAAUACAACAGCCAGAGGUAAUACUGGCACCUCCAGGCAGCUGUCUGACUGCAUUCAGCAAUGCUGAGUGUAUAUAUAUAAAUAUAAAUAAAUAUAAUAUAAAUAUAAAUAUAUAUAUAUAUUUAAUGACUUUUUAGUGAUUUUGUUUUUAUUGCCUGUAACAUGUACCAGGUUGUUGAAGGCAAACUUCAGCCUACUUAGAAAAUACUGGUAUCAGCAACAAACCUUUUUAGUACCCCACCAGUGUACCCCUACAGCUUGAUGGUGAUGAUGGUGAGAUGUCCUUGAUGAGAACUAGUAGUUUGAUAUGCCUUGUCCAAAAACAUUGAAAAAGUAUGGAGGGACUAUCCUAACAAAGACAAGUAGACUUCUAUUUCACUCGCAAUUCAGCUUGUUGUUUGCCCCCCAGAACUGUCCAAAAUGACUUCAGUUCAUUUUAACUGUGGUUAUGGAUCCUCUGGUGUGGACAACUGUCCAUGAGAAGCCAGCUUGAGAGCACCAUUUCUUUCCAUAUGAACUGCAAAAGGGGUGCCAGGGAGUGGUGAGUUCCAGUCCUGACGAUGUGAGUCAGGUUUGAAUGUAGAUGCAAGUAACAAAAGACCUACAUCCAAAUACUGAUUGUCCUAGCCAAACAUGAUUUCUCUUGUUUUCAUCCUAGUUUCAAAAACCACAAGUUUUAAUUUCUUAUUUCUGGAUAAAGUGAAAGUGGGCAGUAAAUCCUAAUUUCAGACGAUUAAAUAUGUCUCAAGUCAGUCUCAAGUCUCUGUCCUUUGGUUUCCUUUGGUUAUAAAAGUGUAUUUAACCAAAGAUCCCUUUAAUUUCUAAUGCCCUUGCCCUGCACAUUAUCAUGAAGGCUCUGGUGCUGACUGUGGCAGUCUCUCUGCAGUGUGUUCAUCUGUGGAAAGGAGAUGUCCUCCCUAGUCUGCUUGUGGACUGUAGUACUGCGGGCCAGCCUUUUUUGAGGUGAUUCUUUUGAUCCAUUUUGAUUAAUUCACUAUGUGGUUCUUAGAGGAGGUUGGCAAGGGAUUCCUUAACAGUGGGAGCAAAGACCUUUCCUGACCUGUCGUGGCACCUGAAAUGUAAAUUGAGUGCUACCCUAUGUCACUGUUCAGGAGGGUGCUGACUUAAUAUCUACGACUAUGUAGUACAAUAAUACAGCAUCUGCUGUAAAAUAGCGAGGCAAGAGGGAAGAGAGACUGUGUCAGUUCUUAGGUGUCACCAGAGAAGGGCACAGAUCCUCACGCUGUUUCUUGAUGUUGUGAAGUCAGGUUUUUCUUCUUUCUCUUUUCUUCUCUGCUCUGCUUUUUCACAGUCACUCCUUCCAGGCUCCUAGGUCCUCUGCAGAACUGCUCUGUUGCACCCCUUCAGGGACAGUCACAUCCAUCACAGACAGCUGACCCUCAUUUUACAUGUUUUCCUACUCGCUGUGGUCUUCUAACACAUGAAAAUAGCUUGUAUUAUCAUUGAAUUGGAUUAACAAGCAAGUAAUCUGUUCUUUGCUGCAGGUCAGCUUUUUCCUUAGUUCCUCACCUGGCAGCUCUCUGGCCCAUAUUGCUGUAUGGGCAGCAGUACCUGUCACAGAAUCACAGAAUCACAGAAUCGACUGGGUUAGAAAAGACCUCAGAGAUCAUCGAGUCCAACCCUUGGUCCAACUCUAGUCCGUCUACUAGAUCAUGGCACUAAGUGCCAUGUCCAAUCUCAGUUUAAAAACCUCUAGGGACGGCGAGUCCACUACCUCCCUGGGCAGGCCAUUCCAAUGCCUGACCACUCUCUCUGUAAAGAAUUUCUUUCUAAUAUCCAGCCUAAAUUUCCCCUGGUAGAGUUUAAGCCCAUGCCCCCUUGUCCUAUUGCUAACUGCCUGGGAGAAGAGACCAAUCCCCACCUGGCUAUAACUUCCCUUCAGGUAGUUAUAGAGAGUGAUGAGGUCACUGGUUAUACAAACCAUAUUCCUGUGUUGUGCUGCAAAAGACUCAGGAGUCUCAAUCUGCAAAUUACACUCUAAUGUAGAAGAAUAUAUCUAUACUACACAAUACAGUGGAGUGCAGAGAUUUUUAUGUUAAUGACAAAUCAACUAGAUUUGGAACUGGAAGUAGUGAAGACUCAAUAUCCAGGUAAGAGCAUACCAUGUGUUUGGCAUUGACAGCAAGCUGUCUGAUUGCAUAACUUGUUUUUUUCAUUGACUUGGAGGGCCAGGAGGUUUUUGGAAGCUCUAGGUAGGAUUGUGGUAAAUUACUCAUUUCACUCUGAGGAUGAGAUGUGGUAAAAGACACAGAGUUUGUUGAAGUGCUACAGUAAGUAAUCUGAAUAUUGUUUUCUGUGUGUUUGGCUUAGAAACCUACUGGCUGUGAUACUAACUGGACCCUAUAAUGGUAAUGAACAUUUGUUCACUGUCUCGUAUCUGGAAAGAUAAUUUUUCCCAUAAUUUCCUGAUUUUCAAAGGCAUUAUAAGGCAAUUCUCUAGUAACACUGAAGUUCUCUCUGCAUAUCUCGUUACAUCCCUGGAGCUGUCUAGUAUUAUAGUUAGACCUUGUGGCCAGGAAGGCCAGUGGCAUCCUGGGGUGUAUUAGAAGGGGGGUGGUUAGUAGGUCCAGAGAGGUCCUCCUUCCCCUCUACUCUGCCCUGGUGAGAACACACCUGGAAUAUUGUGUCCAGUUCUGGGCCCCUCAGUUCAAGAAGGACAGGGAACUGCUGGAGAGAGUCCAGCUUAGAGCUACAAAGAUGAUCAAGGGGGUGGAGCAUCUCUCUUAUGAGGAAAGGCUGAGGGAGCUGGGUCUCUUUAGUUUGGAGGAGACUGAGGGGUGACCUUAUUAAUGUUUACAAAUAUAUAAAUGGUGAGUGUCAUGAAGAUGGAGACAGGCUCUUCUCGGUGAAAAGCAAUGGUAGGACAAGGGGUAAUGGGUUCAAACUGGAACACAAGAGGUUCCACUUAAAUUUGAGAAGAAACUUCUUCUCAGUGAGGGUGACAGAACACUGGAACAGGCUGCCAAGGGGGGUUGUGGAGUCUCCUACUCUGGAGACAUUCAGAUCCCACCUGGACACAUUCCUGUGUAACCUCAUCUAGGUGUUCCUGCUCCGGCAGAGGGAUUGGACUAGAUGAUCUUUUGAGGUCCCUUCCAAUCCCUAACAUUCUGCGAUACUGUGAAAUGUACUCUUUGCUCCUGAGGGUAGGGUUACAUCUAUGUAACUUCAGCCAUUUACAAGUUAGGUAUCUGGGCUGAGAGGGGUAUUCUGUAUUUCCUAGGUUGACAACUGAGGGAAAUAUGUAAAUCCAGAGGUUGAUUUGUCCUAUCUGUUUCAGGCACUUAAUUCAAGACAGGAUGAAUAAUCUGCCGAAUGUGUUUUAUCUCUUUGCAGUGACUGUAAGGGGAGGUAGACGACUGGAAUAGACCAGAUGCACAUAUGUAAGGUAACGUUAGGUGAGUUGAGUCUAGAUCCUAGACCAACCUCAGUGUCCAGGUUCUCUCGAUAGUUAAAACAGAAAAAUAAGCACUACCAAUGGACAUUGUAUAUUUGGGUGGCAUGAAUUGCUGUUUAGAGUGUCUCUAAAAAUUAGAACAGAAGCAUAGACUAUCUUGAACUGAUUAUGAUAGCUGAAAGCAGGACACAUGCAUGUCGCUUGAAUUGUGACCGUUUACAAAAACUAUCAUAAUCAGUAUCAAUACUAGUAUUCCUUUCCUCCUUGAAAAACACACUUAAGCAAACUGCUGCACCUUCA